GCAGAUUUUUACAUCAUGGUCAUAUAUUAUGAUGUAUUUGUAGAAGUAUUUGAUACGUGACCUUGUGUAUGUGCUCAAGGUUACGGUAAAACUAAGAUUUUAUCCCAAGGAUUAUGUCCAAGAAUUUAUGGCAGAGGCAACAUCUUUCUUGCUUAGGAAUGCACAAGAUGAGCAGCUACAGGAUGGUAUUAAAAAGAUAAUGAUUGAAGUCAUGAAGAAACCAUUACCUGCCAUAAAAUUUGGUGCUAGCACUCUACUUUUUUAUGUUUUGAGAGGGGCCUCAUCAAGGUUCCACUCAAAAGCA